rnacentral:rRNA from 1 species
UACGUAGGUGACAAGCGUUGUCCGGAUUUACUGGGCGUAAAGAGCGCGCAGGCGGUCGUUCAAGUCGAGUGUGAAAGCCCCCGGCUCAACUGGGGAGGGUCAUUCGAUACUGAUCGACUCGAAGGCAGGAGAGGGAAGUGGAAUUCCCGGUGUAGUGGUGAAAUGCGUAGAUAUCGGGAGGAACACCAGUGGCGAAGGCGACUCGCUGGGACGUAACUGACGCUGAGACGCGAAAGCGUGGGGAGCAAACAGG